AUGGCGAUGGCUGGUUUGCAGGGUCUUGUUGUGGGGAACAGAAACCCGACAGUCCGUGUGUAUGUCUCGCGACACUGGCAUCAUCGUGGGACCACUGAUAAUGGUCCUAUCAAACGCACUGACAUGGUCCUUCUGGAUACCCGGGGCAACCACAUCUAUGCUGAGAUCGGUGAGAAUCUUGUGACCAAGUUUAUGGGUAAACUGUUCAAUAGGUUCACCACGGCCAGUCCUAAUACCAACCCAGAGGCUCAGUUUCCAUUCUGCACCUACUCACUCACUGAACUGUCACGCCUGCCUGCCCCUCUCGAUGCACCUGAAUUCUUCACAGAUGUACUUGGAGUUAUCACUGGUGUCUCUGAUGUUGUUCAGUAUCAUAGCUCGAACAGGAGCGAGCCUUCCACAAAGCAUACUAUCAACAUCAAGGACCUAAGUGGAUACCAGAUAACUGUUGUAUUCUGGGGUGAACGUGCCACGACCUUUGAAGGAGACUACAUUAUCGAGCUAGGAAAAUCUGAACUAGUUGUUGCACUGUUUGUUGGGACUCUGCUACCAGUUAACGAUUUCCUCAACAAUGAAAAAACUACGAAGGUCGAAGGGGUGUGA
rnacentral:rRNA from 1 species